AUUGAACGCUGGCGGCAGGCUUAACACAUGCAAGUCGAGCGGGGUGAUGGUGCUUGCACUAUCACUUAGCGGCGGACGGGCGAGUAAUGCUUAGGAAUCUGCCUAUUAGUGGGGGACAACAUCUCGAAAGGGAUGCUAAUACCGCAUACGUCCUACGGGAGAAAGCAGGGGAUCACUUGUGACCUUGCGCUAAUAGAUGAGCCUAAGUCGGAUUAGCUAGUUGGUGGGGUAAAGGCCUACCAAGGCGACGAUCUGUAGCGGGUCUGAGAGGAUGAUCCGCCACGCUGGGACUGAGACACGGCCCGGACUCCUACGGGAGGCAGCAGUGGGGAAUAUUGGACAAUGGGGGGAACCCUGAUCCAGCCAUGCCGCGUGUGUGAAGAAGGCCUUAUGGUUGUAAAGCACUUUAAGCGAGGAGGAGGCUCUUUUGGUUAAUACCCAAGAUGAGUGGACGUUACUCGCAGAAUAAGCACCGGCUAACUCUGUGCCAGCCGCCGCCGUAA
rnacentral:rRNA from 1 species